GGUCCAUUGAGAAGCCGUGCAGCCAAGGCCAUUGGAUUCACCGACAUGAUGAUUGACUACUCAUCAGCCAAUGCAGGAUUAUAUUAUGUGAGAUGAUAGGAGUUGGCCAUGAAUACAUGGAAGAGUUCUUCGGUUGUUGCGAA